rnacentral:rRNA from 1 species
GUUAAUCGGAAUUACUGGGCGUAAAGGGUUCGUAGGUGGUAUAGUAAGUCAGAUGUGAAAGCCCAGGGCUCAACCUUGGAACUGCAUUUGAUACUGCUAAACUAGAGUAUAGUAGAGGAGUGGGGAAUUUCUGGUGUAGCGGUGAAAUGCGUAGAGAUCAGAAGGAACACCAAUGGCGAAGGCAACACUCUGGACUAAUACUGACACUGAGGGACGAAAGCGUGGGGAUCAAACAGGAUUAGAUACCCUGGUAGUCCACGCUGUAAACGAUGAGUACUAGCUGUUGGGUUCGGUGUAAAGGAUCUAGUGGCGUAGCUAACGCGGUAAGUACUCCGCCUGGGGACUACGGUCGCAAGACUAAAACUCAAAGGAAUUGACGGGGACCCGCACAAGCGGUGGAGCAUGUGGUUUAAUUCGAUGCAACGCGAAGAACCUUACCUGGUCUUGACAUCCUGAGAACUUUCUAGAGAUAGAUUGGUGCCUUCGGGAACUCAGUGACAGGUGCUGCACGGCU